GACGAACCGAGCGAACGUUGUUCGGAAUCACUGGGCUUAAAGGGCGCGUAGGCGGGUGCUCAAGUCUGUGGUGAAAUCCUCCGGCUCAACCGGAGAACUGCCAUGGAUACUGGGCGUCUCGAGUGUGGUAGGGGUAUGCGGAACUAUCGGUGGAGCGGUGAAAUGCGUUGAUAUCGAUAGGAACUCCGGUGGCGAAGGCGGCAUACUGGACCACCACUGACGCUGAUGCGCGAAAGCCAGGGGAGCAAACGGG
rnacentral:rRNA from 1 species